ACAAACUUGGUCAUUUAGAGGAAGUAAAAGUCGUAACAAGGUUUCCGUAGGUGAACCUGCGGAAGGAUCAUUGCAAAUCGUUAGUGGAUGGGGUAGGUAGGGUAUUUAGAUGUUUCUGUUUAUUCAGAGUAUUUAAAUGUUCUAUUUAUUACUCCAUCCACAUAUAUGCACAGUGUGUGUGGUAGAAUUGAUUUAUUCAUUCCUACCAGCCACACUGAUGUUUACGCUUGUUUGUUUGACAAAUCUAUUUCGAUAAAUUAAUCAAAACUUUUAACAACGGAUCUCUUGGCUCUUGCAUCGAUGAAGAACGCAGC
rnacentral:misc_RNA from 1 species